AGUGAACGCUGGCGGUAGGCCUAACACAUGCAAGUCGAACGGCAGCACAGUAAGAGCUUGCUCUUACGGGUGGCGAGUGGCGGACGGGUGAGGAAUACAUCGGAAUCUACUUUUUCGUGGGGGAUAACGUAGGGAAACUUACGCUAAUACCGCAUACGACCUACGGGUGAAAGCAGGGGAUCUUCGGACCUUGCGCGAUUGGAUGAGCCGAUGUCGGAUUAGCUAGUUGGCGGGGUAAAGGCCCACCAAGGCGACGAUCCGUAGCUGGUCUGAGAGGAUGAUCAGCCACACUGGAACUGAGACACGGUCCAGACUCCUACGGGAGGCAGCAGUGGGGAAUAUUGGACAAUGGGCGCAAGCCUGAUCCAGCCAUACCGCGUGGGUGAAGAAGGCCUGCGGGUUGUAAAGCCCUUUUGUUGGGAAAGAAAAGCAGCAGGUUAAUACCCCGCUGUUCUGACGGUACCCAAAGAAUAAGCACCGGCUAACUUCGUG
rnacentral:rRNA from 1 species